rfam:Triticum aestivum genome assembly, contig: Triticum_aestivum_CS42_TGACv1_scaffold_226167_3B
AUUGUACUCCCUCCGUCCGGAAAUACUUGUCGGAGGAAUGGAUGUAUCUAGACAUAUUUUAGUUCUAGAUACAUUCAUUUUUAUGCAUUUGUGCGACAAGUAUUUCCGUACGGAGGGAGUAAUAG